rnacentral:rRNA from 1 species
AGUGAACGCUGGCGGUAGGCCAAACACAUGUAAGUCGACCGGCAGCACAGUAAGAGCUUGCUAGUACGAGUGGCGAGUGGCGGACGGGUGAGGCAUACACCGGAAUCUACUUUUUUGUGGGGGAUAACGAAGGGAAACUUACGCGAGUACCGCAUACGCCUUACGGGUGAAGGUAGGGGGUCUUCGGACUUUGCGGGAUUGAUUGUGCCGACGCCGGAUUAGCUAGUUGGAGGGGUAAAGGCCAACCAAGGCGACGACCCGUAGCUGGUCGGAGAGGAUGAUGAGCCACACUGGAACUGAGACACGGUCCAGACUCCUACGGGAGGCAGCAGUGGGGAAUAUUGGACAAUGGGCGCAAGCCUGAUCCAGCCAUACCGCGUGGGUGCAGAAGGUCUUCGAGUUGUAAAGCCCGUUUGUUGGGAAAGAAAAGCAGCAGGUUAACACCCCGCUGUUCUGACGGUAACCAAAGAAUAAGCACCGGCUAACUUCGUG